UACGUAGGGGGCAAGCGUUGUCCGGAAUCAUUGGGCGUAAAGCGCGUGUAGGCGGCCUUGUAAGUCCGUUCUGAAAGCCCGGGCUCAACCCGGGAGGCGGAUGGAUACUGCAAGGCUCGAGUACGGAAGAGGCGAGUGGAAUUCCGGUGUAGCGGUGAAAUGCGCAGAUAUCAGGAGGAACACCGGUGGCGAAGGCGGGUCUCCUGGGCCGAAACUGACGCUGAGGAGCGAAAGCGUGGGGAGCAAACAGG
rnacentral:rRNA from 1 species